CAUUCGCAUGUAUAAAAAAAGUGAAUUAAAAAAAGGAAAUGAACUAUACAAGUCAAGGGGGUCUAAUUAAAAUGAAAUUAAAAUGAAUGGGCUAAUUUAUAAAUAAAAUGGUCUAAAAGUGGACCAAAGUGCGAUGCGCGCAAACGCGGAGGGGCUUAAACUGGAAAUGUACCAGACCCCAAAACGCAGUGUUGAAGCGCGGACUAAAAUAAAAUAGUGCAUAAACUUUUGGGGAAAAUUAAAAAAGAUAGGAUGCCAAUAGGAGUCAAUUGAGACGCGGCGCAAAAGGGAGGGAUUAACGCGAAAUUUUCCCAUUUUACGUGCAGGGGCAUGGAUCCGGGUCUGGGAAUGGGUCGACGCGCGGAUCUCCUUACCAUUAAACGGCACCGUUUUAUACAUCAGCUUUUAUAAACCCUUUUUUUACUUAUUUGCCUUUAAACACAGCCCCCCUUUUAUUGAAAUGAACUUUGCAUGCUCCUAGGGUUUCAUUCAGCAGCCACUGAACCCACCAUCUGAUUUGGUGGUCGACAGUCUAGAGUGGAGGCCAGAUCUUGCCGAAGAAAGCCUCGCCCAGGGAGGUUCGGUAAGUUUACUUCCUUUUCUCUCCCCCUUUUAAAAAAAAAAAAAACUUAAGAUCCUAUGCUAUUCUGUAAAAAAAAAAGAAGCAAAAUAUGCCGACAAAAAAAAAAAGAAAACAACCCUUGCCCCGAAUCACCAUGUUUUUGAAACAGAUGGGCUUUCAUCGGUGUUGCUUCAAGUGUUCAUUUCAUUUAUGCUAAAAUCACAAGGAAAUGACAAGAAAGACGAAAGGGUAAGUAGACUUGAAAAUCACCUUUUCUUCUAUUUGGUUGCUUUGUAUUGCUUGUGUAUUUUUUUGCGUAAAAAAUUACAAUGAACGAACCCUUUGGCUUUAUAGCCAAAGAGAUAAAAUGAUAGAAAUAAAUAAAGAAAAAUACAAUAUUCUUUAUUUGCUUUCGUAUUGGCUAUUGUUGCUGCUGUUGUUUUUUUUUUUACAGGUACGGGUGUGCGUGGCACGAGUACGGGGGCUGUGCUGGCGUAUGGAGGCGCGGGCGUGGCUGCUGGAGGGUACAGAGGCUGGGGCUGCUGUCCAGUUGUGGCGCAAAGGGACAAAAAAAACCUAGGGUUUCGGUUUAAAAUAUUUUGGGCUGUUUGGGCCGAUGUAAUUUUGGGGUUGGGCUUAUAUUGGUUUUUUUGAAUUUGGGCUAUGGGUCAUGUAACUGGGACAUUUUAAUGGACUGUAAACAUUUGAUUUAAUUUAUUUAUUUUGUAUUUUGGUUCUUCUUUGGGCCCGGGCAAAUUGGCCUGUUUACAACGAAAAUAGGGGAGAAGCAAAAACAUUAUUGUGAUGACACGACAGGGGACGUCGUGGCGACGUGUCACACAAUUUUUUUGAUUUUCUUCUCCUAGUUAAACUUUGAGUAUUUGUUUUAGUCGAACUUUGAUUAGUGUAUAUUAUUAUAAUAUUAUUAGACCUACUAAUUUAGCGUAUAGAUUUGCACUUUUCUACCCUAGAAAGAUUUAAUCCAUUACACAUUUAGUUAUUAGAUUUUACAAGCUUUCAAAGAAUUUUAUAUUUACAUUUUGAGGGUUCUUAUUUUGGAUUUUGGGGUUUAGUUUUAUCUUCAUCUUUGUACUAUUUGUUUUUGUCGUUAUAGUGAAAUUAUUUUUGUCUGUG
rnacentral:lncRNA from 1 species